UGAGCGGCGGACGGGUUAGUAACGCGUGGGAACAUACCCUUUUCUACGGAAUAGCCUCGGGAAACUGAGAGUAAUACCGUAUACGCCCUUUUGGGGAAAGAUUUAUCGGUGAAGGAUUGGCCCGCGUUUGAUUAGAUAGUUGGUGGGGUAAUGGCCUACCAAGUCUACGAUCAAUAGCUGGUUUGAGAGGAUGAUCAGCAACACUGGGACUGAGACACGGCCCAGACUCCUACGGGAGGCAGCAGUGGGGAAUCUUAGACAAUGGGCGCAAGCCUGAUCUAGCCAUGCCGCGUGAGUGACGAAGGCCUUAGGGUCGUAAAGCUCUUUCGCCAGGGAUGAUAAUGACAGUACCUGGUAAAGAAACCCCGGCUAACUCCGUGCCAGCAGCCGCGGUAAUACGGAGGGGGUUAGCGUUGUUCGGAAUUACUGGGCGUAAAACGUACGUAGGCGGAUUGGAAAGUAUGGGGUGAAAUCCCAGGGCUCAACCCUGGAACUGCCCUGUAAACUAU
rnacentral:rRNA from 1 species